UACCUGGUUGAUCCUGCCAGUAGUCAUAUGCUUGUCUCAAAGAUUAAGCCAUGCAUGUGCAAGUAUGAACCAAUUUGAACUGUGAAACUGCGAAUGGCUCAUU
rfam:Triticum aestivum genome assembly, contig: Triticum_aestivum_CS42_TGACv1_scaffold_024395_1AS